rnacentral:misc_RNA from 1 species
GAUGAAGAACGUAGCGAAAUGCGAUAAGUAGUGUGAAUUGCAGAAUUCAGUGAAUCAUCGAAUCUUUGAACGCACAUUGCGCCCUUUGGUAUUCCUUAGGGCAUGCCUGUUCGAGCGUCAUUUAAACCUUCAAGCUAAGCUUGGUGUUGGGUGACUGUCCGCUUCACGGCGGACUCGCCUCAAAAUUAUUGGCGGCCGGUACAUUGGCUUCGAGCGCAGCAGAAACGCGAACUCGGGCCCGUCGUAUUGGCUCCCAGAAGCUAUCUUCACAAUUUUGACCUCGGAUCAGGUAGGGAUACCCGCUGAACUUAAGCAUAUCAAUAGGCGGAGGA